AAAUUUGAUAAUUAGGAGGGGUACGAUCGCCUCAAUAAUCCCGGCGGGAUGAAGCUCGGCCGCCUCCGCCUCUUCGUCGUCCCCAAUCGUCGGCGAACAUCGAACAGCUCCUCGUUGAGACGGCGUCAACUAAAUCGGAAGACUGGUUCUUCAACACUCUCACGCCGCCGCCGACGAGGGUGGAAGGUUUCUCAGAAUCUUGUCUGGUUAAUUGUCUCCUCGGUCUUGGACGAUGAAUCGGUUGGAGAAGGAGAUGAUCGCCGGCAAAGAUGGGGAGGGUUAAAUUGGGGGGCCGAAAGGUGAGGGAAAUGAAAACAAUGGGAUGAAAAAUGUGAACAUAAUUAUGAGG
rnacentral:lncRNA from 1 species